rnacentral:rRNA from 1 species
GAUACGGCCCAGACUCCUACGGGAGGCAGCAGUGGGGAAUAUUGCACAAUGGGCGCAAGCCUGAUGCAGCGACGCCGCGUGAGGGAUGACGGCCUUCGGGUUGUAAACCUCUUUCAGUAGGGACGAAGCGAAAGUGACGGUACCUACAGAAGAAGGACCGGCCAACUACGUGCCAGCAGCCG